rnacentral:rRNA from 1 species
AGAGUUUGAUCCUGGCUCAGGACGAACGCUGGCGGCGUGCCUAAUACAUGCAAGUAGAACGCUGAAGACUUUAGCUUGCUAGAGUUGGAAGAGUUGCGAACGGGUGAGUAACGCGUAGGUAACCUGCCUACUAGCGGGGGAUAACUAUUGGAAACGAUAGCUAAUACCGCAUAACAGUGUUUAACACAUGUUAGAUGCUUGAAAGAUGCAAUUGCAUCACUAGUAGAUGGACCUGCGUUGUAUUAGCUAGUUGGUGGGGUAACGGCCUACCAAGGCGACGAUACAUAGCCGACCUGAGAGGGUGAUCGGCCACACUGGGACUGAGACACGGCCCAGACUCCUACGGGAGGCAGCAGUAGGGAAUCUUCGGCAAUGGGGGCAACCCUGACCGAGCAACGCCGCGUGAGUGAAGAAGGUUUUCGGAUCGUAAAGCUCUUGUUGUAAGAGAAGAACGUGUGUUAAGAGUGGAAAAUUCACACAGUGACGGGUACUUACCAGAAAGGGACGGCUAACUCGUGCCAGCAGCCGCGGUAAU